GACGAACCGUGCGAACGUUAUUCGGAAUCACUGGGCUUAAAGCGCGUGUAGGCGGCCCGUCACGUCAGUCGCUGAAAUCCCCUGGCUCAACCAGGGAAGUGGCGUUGAUACGAGCGGGCUGGAGGGGGGUAGGGGGUACGGGAACUCACGGUGGAGCGGUGAAAUGCGUUGAGAUCGUGAGGAACGCCCGCGGCGAAAGCGCGUACCUGGACCCCACCUGACGCUGAGACGCGAAAGCCAGGGGAGCGAACGGG
rnacentral:rRNA from 1 species